rnacentral:rRNA from 1 species
UACGGAAGGGGCAAGCGUUGUUCGGAAUCAUUGGGCGUAAAGCGCGUGUAGGCGGUCCGGUAAGUCCGCUGUGAAAGUCGGGGGCUCAACCCUCGGAUGCCGGUGGAUACUGUCGGGCUUGAGUACGGAAGAGGCGAGUGGAAUUCCUGGUGUAGCGGUGAAAUGCGCAGAUAUCAGGAGGAACACCAAUUGCGAAGGCAGCUCGCUGGGACGUUACUGACGCUGAGACGCGAAAGCGUGGGGAGCAAACAGG